rnacentral:tRNA from 1 species
GCGAAUGUGGCGAAAUUGGUAGACGCGCUUCUCUCAAAAAGAAGUUUCGCAAGAAGUAUGAGUUCGAGUCUCAUCAUUCGCACCA